GCCUGGUUGGCUCAGUGGGUUAAGUGUCCGACUUCAGCUCAGGUCAUGAUCUCGAAGUUUGUGGGUUCGAUCCCCUCGUCGGGCU
rfam:Felis catus isolate Cinnamon breed Abyssinian chromosome X, whole genome shotgun sequence.